rnacentral:rRNA from 1 species
GGGAACCCGGGGAACUGAAACAUCUAAGUACCCGGAGGAAGAGAAAGAAACAUCGAUUCCGUAAGUAGCGGCGAGCGAACGCGGAAGAGCCCAAACCGUGAUGCGUGCAUCGCGGGGUUCGGACUGCAGAAGGGAUUCAGUAAUGACAGGAGAACGGCUUUGGAACAGCCGGCCAGAGAGGGUGAGAGCCCCGUAUCCAAAGUCAGAGCUGACCUGGCAGGAUCCAGAGUACCACGGGACACGGGAAACCCUGUGGGAACGAGCGGAGACCACUCCGUAAGGCUAAAUACUACUCAGUGACCGAUAGCGUAUAGUACUGUGAAGGAAAGGUGAAAAGAACCCCGGGAGGGGAGUGAAAGAGAACCUGAAACCCUGUGUCUACAAGCUGUGGAAGUGCUUUAUAUGCACGACCGCGUACUUUUUGUAGAACGGUCCGGCGAGUUACGCUUACUGGCAAGGUUAAGCACUUCAGGUGCGGAGCCGUAGGGAAACCAAGUCUUAAGAGGGCGUUUUAGUCAGUACGUGCAGGCCCGAAACCGGGUGACCUAUCCAUGUCCAGGUUGAAGCCGCCGUAAAAGGCGAUGGAGGACCGAACCCACAUCCGUUGAAAAGGGUGGGGAUGAGGUGUGGAUAGCGGAGAAAUUCCAAUCGAACCCGGAGAUAGCUGGUUCUCCUCGAAAUAGCUUUAGGGCUAGCCUCAUACAAGUCUUGCGGAGGUAGAGCACUGAAUUUCCUAGGGGGCGUCAAAGCUUACCGAAGAAUAUCAAACUCCGAAUGCCGUGUAGAUGUUGUAUGGGAGUCAGACUGUACGAGAUAAGUUGGACAGUCAAAAGGGAAAGAGCCCAGACCACCAGCUAAGGUCCCAAAGUGUGUGUUAAGUGGAAAAGGAUGUGGGGAUUCAAAGACAACUAGGAUGUUGGCUCAGAAGCAGCCAUUCAUUCAAAGAGUGCGUAACAGCUCACUAGUCGAGAGUUCCUGCGCCGAAAAUGUCCGGGGCUGAAACACGACACCGAAGCCGUGGACUCGCAAUGCGAGUGGUAGAGGAGCAUUCUUAAAACCGACGAAGCUGUACCGGAAGGAGCAGUGGAGGGAUAAGAAGAGAGAAUGCCGGAAUGAGUAGCGAGAGAGAGGUGGGAAUCCUCUCGGCCGAAUAUCCAAGGUUUCCAGAGUAAAGCUGAUCUGCUCUGGGUAAGUCGGGGCCUAAGGAGAGGCAGAGAUGCGUAUCCGAUGGACAGCAGGUAAAAGAUUCCUGCACCCCUUGUUAUCAGAACUGCGGGGACACGGGAAGGGAAGCAGAGCCGGGAAUGGAAAGCCCGGUGCAAGCGAAGUAGUCGCAGGAUUGGAAAAUCCGUCCUGCAUGAGACAAAGGCGUGAUGCGGAGCGAAACAAAGUAGCGAAGCUGCGGCCCCUUCCUGUCGAGAAAAGCCGCUAUCGUGUAGCAAGGGCCCGUACCGUAAACCGACACAGGUGGAUGAGGAGAGGAUCCUAAGGCCGGCGGGAGAAGUGUUGUUAAGGAACUCGGCAAAAUGACUCCGUAACUUCGGGAGAAGGAGUGCUGCGAAAGCAGCCGCAGAGAAAUGGCCCAAGCAACUGUUUAGCAAAAACACAGGUCUAUGCGAAACCGAAAGGUGAGGUAUAUGGGCUGACGCCUGCCCGGUGCUGGAAGGUUAAGGGGAGAGCUUAGCGCAAGCGAAGGUUUGAACUUAAGCCCCAGUAAACGGCGGCCGUAACUAUAACGGUCCUAAGGUAGCGAAAUUCCUUGUCGGGUAAGUUCCGACCCGCACGAA